CCGGAGGCAGCAGUGGGGAAUUGUUCGCAAUGGGCGCAAGCCUGACGACGCAAUGCCGCGUGGAGGACGAAGAUCUUCGGAUCGUAAACUCCUGUCGAGCGGGACGAACGUCCCCGGACCUAACACGUCCGGGGAGUGACGGUACCGCGAGAGGAAGCCCCGGCUAACUCCGUGCCAGCAGCCGCGGUAAUACGGGGGGGGCAAGCGUUGUUCGGAAUUACUGGGCGUAAAGGGCUCGUAGGCGGCCAACUAAGUCAGACGUGAAAUCCCUCGGCUUAACCGAGGAACUGCGUCUGAUACUGGAUGGCUUGAAUCCGGGAGAGGGAUGCGGAAUUCCAGGUGUAGCGGUGAAAUGCGUAGAUAUCUGGAGGAACACCGGUGGCGAAGGCGGCAUCCUGGACCGGUAUUGACGCUGAGGAGCGAAAGCCAGGGGAGCAAACGGGAUUAGAUACCCUGGUAGC
rnacentral:rRNA from 1 species